CCUGCGGCGGAAUGAAUUUUCCGAAAAUGGGCUGUUGCGCAGCGCGACCAUGCUGCGCGGGAACGACCUAACGUUCCCGACUGUGAGCCUCACGGCUCCCUGAGCGCCACGACCCCGAAAAGGUCGUGGCGCCCGGGUC
rnacentral:sRNA from 1 species